UAAACAGAAGUGAUUCCAUUGGAAUAUGACAACUGAAGGUUCCAUAAAGGAUCAUUUUAUGAAAAAUAGUUCAAUACAAUACAAGGGUAUGUUAUGUGAAGCAAGAUCCUCUGAGGAGAAAUGAAAAAGUAUCCCAAAAUCUGUUUGGGAGAGCUGGAAGCCUCACUAUGAUACUGAGACUUUUAAGGCUAAAUCUGCACAAUGUUCCAAAAAUCGACCAAGUGAGAAAUGUGGUGAAGGAUCUGCUCCCUCGCGCCAUACUGGAGGCUCCCGGACUCACCGACAGCAUGCAAGACAACUGGCGACUGUUCUUGGACGGCCACCUAAUCCACACGAACUUUUGAAGAAGACACAUACCAAAAGAAACGAUGAGUUUGUGGAUCUGAAGUCUAAGAGCACAUAUGCAAGGAACACCAAACAUUGCUGAUUAUCUUUCUUAAUUUUUGUUGAGAAUUUACUUAGUCGUCAUUCAUCAUGUUUAUCCCAAAUAUUAAAUACAUGGUUAUAAUAUUUGAAGAUUAACAAUGGGGGAGGUUAGUGUCAUAUUAGUGCAGUUGAUGUCUCUAUAUAAUUUUCCAGUGUGGAUGAAAUCUUUAACAGCUAACAAAACAUCAUUGUGGAUCACUGGCCCUGCUUUAUAAGUGCAACUGAGACUAUCUAUAAUCUCCU